UUGAAUAGAAUUUUUUUUUUAACUAAAAACACUUUCGUAGAAUAAAUUAUGUUCUAUCAAUUUGAGAUAGUGGAAUAAGUUCCGAACCAUUACCAUAUAGACUAUAGUUACACUGUCAUUCUCACAUUUAAGCCUUCAUCAAUUUAAUUGUGGGUAUCAUUUCUUCACAACAGCUUCCAAAUAAUGAGAGAUUAAAAACAGGUGCUAACAUUGUGCUAAAACAACACUAGGUUUGCUCGACUAUACAAUCUCCUAUCACCUAAAAUAUACAACGAUGGUUCAUGCCCUGCUUAACUAUAGUCUACAACUACCUUCUCUUCUAAAGGGCACUUCAUCAUUACAAAUACUUGCAAAAGUAGGAAUUUGACACUGGAGAAACUCAGCUUCCUCUAAGGCCACAACAAAAGCUUACAGGUGAAGAGGGGGGCACGAAAUAAGCAAAGGAAGAAAAGCAAAAUUCAUUCAAUAAAAACUAUGGAAAGGAUAAAAAUCAUUUAAUUCUUUUAUAGCAUUUUAUUCUUCUAAGAGAAAGAAUAGAUUUUUCUAUUGCAUAGCUUACAAGCCCAAGCUUUCUCAUUGAGUGAUCAAACAUAUGGGAUGGGACUAUCCUAGAUGAACUUAUACCUUCCACCGAAAAGAAGAAGAGACUUGAGGGAUAAAUAAAUAUAAAUGGAUUAAAAUGGAUCGACUUCUACAAAGAGAUUAACUAAUGGAUCAAUUAAGCCAAUGAGUAGAAGUAGUUUAUCACAGUGAAAAGAGAUAAACAGGUGGGUGACAAGGAAGGUGGACCUUAUAAAAAGCUAAAAUGCAGGAUUGAAAAACAAGGACCAUAUCAGUUUUUCAAGACAGAAAAUCAAGGAUGAGAAGGAUUACGUCUUCUAGCAUUAAGAUCCAGCAUCACAAAAAUGGUGUCAGUAAGAAAGGGUGUGGAAUUCUUACACAUGAAAAAUUACACAAAACAGCCAACAAGUUUAACUCUCAAUAGUUGGAAGGGUCAUCAACAAUACGGUGAAGCAUGAUGGAUAGAACAUUCUGUAGUGAAAAAAUGCUGUCUUACAUAGUCAGACAGUAUUUCACUAAUGUUUCUCGCAUGAACAUUGUAUAGAGCUGUGUCUUUCUAGUUUGCUCCCGUGGUCUAAUUUAUUUAUUUUUCCUGAAUUCUAAUUAAUCAUUCGGAGCUAACAGCUUUCCUAGUCAUUUGGACAUCUUCUUAGAUGGGAAUCACUUGCUAUUUGUUAAUUCUACUGUUUUGCAUUUUUUGUAAAGAAGCACAACAGAAUAUUAGAUACAAACAAUUUCCUCUGUGAAUUUUGCAUACAUAAAGGAAUUCAAAUAAAACAGUACACUAACCUUUUAAUUGUUUUUCAAGAAUAAAAGUACAGCUGUUGUGAACUAGAUUAACGUUACAUCAUGAACAUUCUCUUCAGGUUAUAAAAAUCUUAAAACAGAAAGAUUUGCCAGAGCUAAAGCCCCUUUAAUUUCAUUUUUUCAUGUUUUACUGUCUACAAUUUCCCUUGCCUUCUGUGUGUUUCCUGU